rnacentral:lncRNA from 1 species
CUUGUCUGAAGACUGUCCGUUGGAGAGAUCCGGUUGUAUGAGGAAUCUGAUAGAAGGUCGAUCGAUAACGGAAUUCAAAAGGUGCUAUAGAAGGUUGAUCGACAGAAGAGUCCGAAAGGUGUUGUGGAAGUUCGUCCACUGAAGGAGUCUGGAGGACACUAUGGAAGGUCGACCGCUGGAGGGGUCCGAAGGGAAUUUAUCCAUUGGAGGGGUCUGGUUGGCACUGUUGAAGUUCAGUUGGCAUUGUUGAAGGUUGAUGGCUGG